rnacentral:sRNA from 1 species
UCGCGCGGCUCCCGUUCGCGGAGCACACAUCCCGGCGCGACGAGGUUCCUUCGGAGAGCGAGCGGGAGUCGGUGCUCGGCCUCCUGCGGGGAGCAGCCCGAGGCUUACUGAACCCUUCCACGCCGCUGUUUCUUCAUCAAUAAAAUGGGAACAUUCGCAGUCAUUUCUCAGGACUUUGUGCAGACAAAAAGUUGAUCAUAGAAAUCACCCCACACAAUGCCUGGCACAUUGAGGACACUCAGCACAUCUUAAUUUCCUUCCUCUCUGAAAAAAAAUCUGCAGGGAGUGGUCGGGAGGUGACAACGCCAGCAUGCCAGUGCUAUCGGAGGACUCUGGUUUGCAUGAAACCCUGGCCCUGCUGACCUCCCAGCUCAGACCUGACUCCAACCACAAGGAGGAGAUGGGCUUCCUGAGGGAUGUUUUCAGUGAAAAAAGCCUCAGUUACUUAAUGAAGAUUCAUGAGAAGCUUCGCUAUUAUGAAAGGCAAAGUCCAACCCCAGUUCUGCACAGCGCUGUGGCCCUCGCUGAGGACGUGAUGGAGGAGUUGCAGGCCGCCUCUGUGCACAGUGAUGAGAGGGAGCUGCUCCAGCUGCUGUCCACCCCGCACCUGAGGGCUGUGCUCAUGGUACAUGACACGGUUGCCCAGAAGAAUUUUGACCCUAUUCUCCCGCCUCUGCCUGACAAUAUCGAUGAGGAUUUUGAUGAGGAAUCGGUGAAGAUCAUCCGCUUGGUGAAGAACAAGGAACCCCUGGGUGCCACCAUCCGGCGGGACGAGCACUCAGGGGCUGUUGUGGUGGCCAGGAUCAUGCGAGGAGGCGCAGCAGACAGGAGCGGCCUGGUCCACGUUGGAGAUGAGCUCCGAGAAGUCAACGGGAUUGCAGUCCUGCACAAGCGGCCCGACGAGAUCAGCCAGAUUCUGGCCCAGUCCCAGGGAUCCAUCACCCUAAAAAUCAUCCCAGCCACCCAGGAGGAAGAUCGCUUAAAAGAGAGCAAGGUGUUCAUGCGCGCCCUCUUCCACUACAACCCUCGGGAGGACCGGGCCAUCCCUUGCCAGGAGGCGGGCCUGCCCUUCCAGUGCAGGCAAGUCCUGGAGGUAGUGAGCCAGGAUGACCCCACGUGGUGGCAAGCCAAGCGAGUCGGGGACACCAACCUUCGAGCCGGCCUCAUCCCCUCCAAGCGGUUCCAGGAGAGACGACUAAGCUACCGGAGAGCCGCGGGCACCCUGCCGAGCCCCCAGAGCCUCAAGAAGCCCCCCUGUGAGUAGAUUGUCAGGGAUGGCACUCCAGGGAGGGCCCGGGGUUAGGGCGAGGGAGGAUUCAGGCUGGGAAGAAGCAGGCAGUGGGCUGGAGGGGGCAUCAGGGAUCUUGUCUGAGCUCAUGGACU